rnacentral:sRNA from 1 species
CCCUAGCCCCGAUAAUAGUGAAAAUCCUUGUGGUCUGGGGUUCGGACCACAAGAUUGUAGCGGAUAGCGGGAUUAAGC